UCUGCUGGCCACCGUAGUGAUUAGGAAUUGCACUAUUCUAGUUUUGUUAUAUGCCGGCCACCGUAGUUAGGAAGUUCGAGGUUGUUCCUGACUGUAAUGACACACGUUCGGAAAAUAGAUGCAUUCUGGGAAGUGAUGUGUUUCAAUGUAGGCUACUCGUGUUUCCUUCACUCAGACAUGUGUGCUGAUUCUUUUCCAAUUUUGAGCAAGGAUAUAAAAUAUGAAGACUGUACUUUUUCAUUAAGAUUGAUAUUUUUGCACAAUGUGUUGUGCUACGCGUAACGCGUCAUUGUAUGCGACGGUCUAAGGAGCAGUCCUAUGCGUCCACCCACCAUGCGUCCACCUGUCCACCACUGUAAGUAGAACAGUCAAACAAGCAAGGGAAAUUAGGCAUUUAGACGUCCACAAUGAUGAAGUUAUGGCAAAAAAAAAAACAGAACAAAACAAAUUGUCGUUGUUGACUCCGAACGCCACUGUAAACUGUAGCGGUUUAAUUUACAUCAAUGCAAAUAAAUGCAAAGUAGCUUGCUCUGCUAGCUAGCUCGAUUAGCUAACUCGCCCCUAUUGAUUUGGAGGUGUACUUUUGGCAUUGCCAGAUACCGUGUAUGUUUAUGAAUGGAUUUGAACUGAGUAUUUUGUAUUUGGAGAUUAUUUUUCUUUCAGAAACAAGUUGCAAGGUCAGAUGUGUUGUCCUCCUACCCCCAACUUCCGGUCCUAGUCCCAGUAGGCCCUUGUUGGUCUACCUGUGAGAGUACCUGAGCUACAUCUCUGAAGUCUCACGGUAAAAUGCUGGAAUACCUGAGCUACUUCCCUGAAGGUGAACACUCGUACAGAGACGCUACGGAGUACUACGCAGAGGCAUGGAGGUACAGUUACAAGGUCAACCCCAGCAUAGAUGAGUACGGACUACACCCAAGCAGAGUCCCGCCGUAAAAUGCUGGAGUACCUGAGCUACUUCCCUGAAGGUGAACACUCGUACAGAGACGCUACGGAGUACUACGUAGAGGCAUGGAGGUACAGUUACAAGGUCAGAGUCGUUUCACUGGACGCCGUCGGACUCGACUUUCCAUUGACCCAGUUCUGCUGUAAAACACUGUAAUACCUGAGCUAAAUCUCUUAAAUUGAACGCUCAUACAGAGACGAUACUGAGUACUACGCAGAGGCUUGGAGGUACAGCUACAAGAGUACUGAAUUGAUGAGUACUGAAUCUACACAAGCAUAGUCCUGCUGGAAAAUGCUGGAGUAGCCUACCUGAGCUACAGUUCUGAAGUCCUGCUGUAAAACACUGGAGCACCUGAGCUACUUAAAGUGAACACUCGUACAGAGACGCUACUGAGUACCACGCAGAGGCUUGAAGGUAUUUGCUCCUGAUGUCCUGACCAGUACACAUACAGAAAGAAGUGUUCCACUACCAGUUUCCAUUCAUCUGUGGGUCUCCUGACAUUGGGAGAGCGAGGAUUUCAAUGUCUGACUGCUCUUGAGUUAACAUAAUCAUCAUGCAGUCCUUGGAGAACGUCGGGGUGUGUGUGUGUGUGUGUGUGUGUGUGUGUGUGUGUGUGUGUGUGUGUGUGUGUGUGUGUGUGUGUGUGUGUGUGUGUGUGUGUGUGUCUGUGUGUCUGUGUGUCUGUGUGUCUGUGUGUCUGUGUGUCUGUGUGUCUGUGUGUCUGUGUGUCUGUGUGUCUGUGUGUCUGUGUGUCUGUCUGUCUGUCUGUCUGUCUGUCUGUCUGUCUGUCUGUCUGUGUGUCUGUGGGGGUUAUCCAGGAGCUAGGUCACAUCCUGUGCAUCCUCACAUCCUGUGGUUUACUGCAAUGGGUAGUUACAUCCCACACCCAUGGUAACUGAUGAAAUACACAUCAUGCGUUCCACGCGCAAACAGCUGUUUGCAGGAAUAUGCUAUUGGCUUGAGCAAUACUAUUUGUACACUUAGACUGAACAUUCCAGAAUCACACCCAACAUGAUGCCAUCCUGAGUGCUUAUCAUUGUUUUUGCACUUAAAAAUUAGUUUCUUUAAAUCAUACUGGAAAUUGUUACCAGAUACAUUUUUGAUCUUAUUAUAUUUAUUGACUUAAGAUAUUGUGUUGUGAUUUAUUUGUAUUGAUGGGCCUUGAGUACUUGGUCUUAUUUCCCUUUCCAUGUAUCAGUGUACAAGGCACAAUAAAACCUCUUUAAAGGAG